AUGGAGUUGGGCGAACUGCUGUACAACAAGUCGGAGUACAUCGAGACGGCAUCUGGGAACAAAAAGUUAGUCGCUAGUCUGUUUUGUGGGAAGGCAGAACAUCUUUCUCAAUGGCAAGACCAUUAUAAUGAACGACUGUAUCAUCCGAGGAGAACUCGCAAGUGUAAGAGUUGGAUGUCACUGUGUUGUGAAAAGCCGUAGUGUCAUAAGGCCACCAUUCAAAAAAAUUCAGCAAAGGUGUUACCUUCUUUCCUCUGCAUAUUGGGGAUCAUGUCUUUAUUGAGGAAGACUGUGUGGUCAACGCUGCCCAGAUUGGUUCUUAUGUUCACGUUGGGAGGAACUGUGUGACUGGGUGCCGUUGUGUCUUGAAAGACUGCUGCAAAAUUCUUGACAAUACAGUAUUACCUCCAGAAACUGUGUUCCCCCCAUUCACUGCCUUCUCCGGCUGCCCAGGACUCUCUCCGGGGAGCUCCCAGAGCGCACACAGGAGCUGAGGAGUGAUCUCACCAAAAGCUACAGCCAGAAGCUUCUACCCCUAGC
rnacentral:lncRNA from 1 species